UGCAUUGUAAUGGUUAUCAGAGGUGAUCUAAUUAGAUGUUAUUGUUUUACAAUUUUUCAGCUGAAGUAUUUAAACAUGUUACAUAGUUCAUCAACCUUACAAAAAGGAUGUUUUAAUCAAUUUUUUUUUUUUGUAAAGAUUCUGAUACCUCCUACAAGUCAGACAGAGAGUGAGGGAGAAAAGGUCAUCGUAGGGAAAAAAUCAAGAAUAAGGAUUAGCUCCAAUAGUCCAAUUAUUAUUAUGUUGUUGUCUUUCACUCUCGAGCCUUGUGCUCACACCUUUCUUCUCGCUGCAUCUAUCUAUCUAUCUCUCUCCUCUCUCUUUAUAUAUAUGCUAGUCAAUCAUUCUUCUCACUAACAGUAUUUUCC
rnacentral:lncRNA from 1 species